rnacentral:rRNA from 1 species
GAAUCUUCCACAAUGGACGAAAGUCUGAUGGAGCAAUGCCGCGUGCGUGAAGAAGGUUUUCGGAUCGUAAAACUCUGUUGUGAGGGAAGAACACGUAUGAGAGUCACUUUUCGUACUUUGUCGUUACCCCAUUAGAAAUCCACGGCUAACUACGCUCCAGUAGCCGCGGUAAUACGUAGGUGGCAAGCGUUGUCCUGAAUUAUUGGGCGUAAAGCGCGCGCAGGCGGUCCUUUAAGUCUGAUGUGAAAGCCCACGGCUCAACCGUGGAAGGUCAUUGGAAACUGGGGGACUUGAGUACAGAAGAGGAAGGCGGAAUUCCAAGUGUAGCGGUGAAAUGCGUAGAGAUUUGGAGGAACACCAGUGGCGAAGGCGGCUUUCUGGUCUGUAACUGACGCUGAGGCGCGAAAGCGUGGGGAGCAAACA